UUUCUUUUAAAUUAUUAAAGAAAAAGCUGUUUGAAGUCUUAUUCUUACCAAUGAUAAGAAGUAGAAAGACUUCGGUAAUAACAGCAUAUCCAACCGCUAGAAAAAAGUUAUGCUACUUUAUUUCAACACAUUUCAACAUUACAUUCAAAAGUAAACCGAAAUAACAUAACGUAAAUGGAGGUAAAUUAAAUUAAAUUAAUUAAAUCUUGGCAGUGUACCAUGAAAGUGCCACAUAGUAACGGUCCUUAAUUUACAGUUAAUAACUGAAUAGCUCACGUAAUAGAAGUUCUAAAUAUCCUCAAUUCUUUACUUUAGUGACAUAUUGACGGAUUGUGGAGAGCCCCCACCCCCUCUCCAUAUUCAGCAGUCUUUUGAAGGGGGGCGUUCAAGGACAUUGAAGGUGGACUCGGGUUGUAGGGUUCAGGAAGGCCUCGAGGGAAGCCUGGCAGAAACCUCAAAGGUCUGGAUCCAAGGCAGACUCCAUGGAGGCCUCUCAGAGGUCACCUCUCGGGCCUCAAAGGUCACACCUCGCAUGCUAGCAUGUGAAUCUAAGGUGGUGAAUAUGUUGAACUUCUGCUGACCAUCAGCACGUUAGCAUUUAGUUCAAAGCAGCACUUCAACAGAGCAGGACCACGUAAAACAUACGAACAAAAGCUCAUAGUACAGUUUAGGGGGUGAGGGUUCACGGUCCAUAACCCCUCAACUGUAUUGAACUGUACUGGACCAUGACCCAUUCAGUCAUUUUUCAGGGCUGUGGUCCAUUGGUUUGACAUUUGUAGUAAAUUGGUCCCAAUAUAAGAGAUGUAGACAGUGUGCCAGUACGUUGGUCCUCAAUGAUCUGAACUAUGAAGUGUCAUUGACACACACACACACACACACUAAUUGGGUCCCUGUGGGACACUGCUCAUCAUUCAUGAAUUCAAGUUCUCCCUGAUGUCCUCUUCCUCUGACUCCACCAGACCCUAUGAGGUCAAAGGUUACCUCUGUGAGGAGGACCACCUGACACCUACCAUUAGGAGCUACAUCGAGAGCUUAUCUCCCUGUUAUCAACUACCUCAUGUCUUUCCACCAUCAACCAUGACAUAAUGAUCACGUAUUGAUUGUUGUCUGGUUCGUGCCGUCAUUGGGCUUAGUAUCUAUGGAGACACCGUAUGGAAAUAUCUACACUUGUUUAGGACUUUGGAGGGCGACCGGUCAGACCAUCAUGCGCUGCACACAACAGUUACCCCCAUGGUGUGGUGGGCUCUGCUUGUUUUUAGCAAAUUGAUCCUGGCAGUGCUGAUGAGGAGCGUUUGAUCGGUGCUGAAUCCUUCCUGGUCUCUUCUGACCAGCUGGAAGGACUGCUAGUGGUUGAAAGGAGGGAACAGGUUUCUUGCCCAUCUACUGCUGUAAAACACGUUUCCCGUUUGAAAGGAACCAGUCAAGGUGUUCACAUGUUUACUUCUGCUUUAUAUUAAUAUUUGCGUCAGAGUCUAUAGAAAAGAAUGUUCUGCAGGCUGCUGUGUGGUGAUCUCAGAGAACUUGACGAAGACCUGCAUGCUUCAACACGAGACCGACAGGCACAGCGAGGUGGGAGGAGCCGUCUGAGCCUCCAGGCUGAUGUUUUGUCAGGAAGCUUCUCUGUGAACACAAGCUGGUUCUUACUUGAGCCGUACGGAUUCUAUCUGCCGUCUUUAGACUCCACAGCUGCCUCCUCUCUGUUCCCCCUUGGUCCUCCUCCCUGUUGGUGUUUCGGUUGGAUUACUUCCGACGAGUGCUGAGAGGUGUUGGAGUCGUACUCUGGUCCCACUGCAGAGGAAGCAAGCUUGGAUACAAAGACAGCGUUCUGCAGAAUAGUCAAGCUGUUUGACAUUGCUGAACAUAUUGCUAAACACGAGAAACUACACAGAAAUAAAAAUAAAAUGGAAUGA